rnacentral:lncRNA from 1 species
UGUGUGUAAAAUAUUGAGGCCACCAAAAAUUGACAGAGUAAAAAAAUGAGAAAAUGGACAAUUUAAGAGAGUUGACAUAGCUUGAGUGAAAAACUCAUCCCUGAAUCUACAAAAAUGAGAUUUAUAUAAAGAUUCUUCGCCCUAAAUCCACAUAAUGAAGAAACCCUUGGACCAUUGAAUCUACUAAGACUUGAUGUUGAGUCCACAUUAUCAAAAAGAGCUCUCUAAAUCUGCAAGAUUGUUGAAACUAGUAGAGAAGAACCUCAAAAAGAGGGAAAAGUUCGUAGAAUAGAUUGAAAUGUCUCUAGAACUACAAGAGGGCAUUUACAUAAGGCAAAAUAUAUUUAAAAUAUCCCAAGAAAAUAACGGUUUUGC